rnacentral:ncRNA from 1 species
UUUCUUCAGGGCAGGGUGAAAGCCCCUACCGGCGGUAAAGUCCGCGAGCCAUAAGGCAUGAUUCGGUGUGAUUCCGAAACCGACAGUAUAGUCUGGAUGAGAGAAGAA